rnacentral:snRNA from 15 species
CUGGAGUGGGCCUGCUCAUACGAACUCAUCUCCUGCCUUUUACCGGAUGUGACCGUGAGUUGGCCCAAAAUACUCCAAUACCCUAAUCUUUGGAACCCAUCUGGACAUCCAGAAU